CCUACGGGAGGCAGCAGUGAGGAAUAUUGGUCAAUGGACGCGAGUCUGAACCAGCCAAGUAGCGUGAAGGAUGACUGCCCUAUGGGUUGUAAACUUCUUUUAUAUGGGAAUAAAAUGUUCCACGUGUGGGAUUUUGUAUGUACCCUAUGAAUAAGGAUCGGCUAACUCCGUGCCAGCAGCCGCGGUAAUACGGAGGAUCCGAGCGUUAUCCGGAUUUAUUGGGUUUAAAGGGAGCGUAGGUGGAUUGUUAAGUCAGUUGUGAAAGUUUGCGGCUCAACCGUCAAAUUGCCGUUGAAACUGGUAGUCUUGAGUACAGGAGAGGUGGGCGGAAUUCGUGGUGUAGCGGUGAAAUGCUUAGAUAUCACGAAGAACUCCGAUUGCGAAGGCAGCAUACUGGACUGCAACUGACACUGAGGCACGAAAGUGUGGGUAUCAAACAGGAUUAGAUACCCUGGUAGUC
rnacentral:rRNA from 1 species